rnacentral:lncRNA from 1 species
ACGGCCUGGGCGCGGGCCCGGCGGCGGCGAGGGCGGCGGCGGCGGGGCGGGCGCGGACCUGGGCUCCGGGCUCCAGGCGGCGGCGGCGGGGGGCGCCCGGCAGGGCCCCGGGCGGCGGAGAGGGCGGGCGCCGGUUACCUGCGGUCCCGGACGGAGAGUCUCUCGGAGUCCCAGUCAGCCCUCAGCCCCGACAACACAAGAUGGCCGCCACGUCGCCGCGCGCCGGCACGUGACGUGACGCGGCGCAACGCGACGCGAUGCAAAGCGACGGGACGGGAACGGAAUCACCGCCCCCUCCCCGCUUGCCUUCAGUGGCAAAGCGCGCAUGCCCCGCAGACGCACUGGCGCCCCAGCCGCCGAGGCGGCCAUCUUCGUAGUUCCAUGCCCGCUCUCGAGACAGAGGAGCCUGGCAGCUAGAGCGGACGCUUCCUAGCUGUGUGACCCUGGGCAAGUCACUUCCCCGUUUGCCUAAGAAGGAAAUGGCGAACCAGUCCAGCAUCCUUGCCAAGAAAACCCCAGAUGGGUUACCAAUGUCCCCCUGGACUAAACAGUAACAAGAGGAGCCUGGUAACUCAGGGCACCUAGGUGCCAACGGAGAUCCUGUUCACCAAUUACUCUGCCAGUCAAGCAUUUAUUAAGCACCUACUGUGGACGAGCUAGCUGACAAGCAUUUAUUUACUCCCUCUCCUGCCAGGCGCAAUGCUGAGUGCUAAGGGUAUGAAUAAGAACAAAACAGGCCUGCCCUCGAGAACCUGAAGUUCCCUCUGGGUGACACGAAGCAAACAGAUACAAGGUAAUUCUGGUGGAGAAGCAGCUGGAGAUGGGCAAAAGGCUUCGUGCAGGAGAGUCCUUGAAGACUUGCUACCUUUGACUGGCAGUUCCAACUCUUAUUAUUCAGGGGCAAACUUUAUGGUCUGGGAACUUCCCAGGUUCUCCUUUGUUAUUCACUUUAUCACUUUCCCUUUUAAAAAGUAUUCGUGUUUCUUUGAUGCCUUUUUUUUUUACAUCAAGUAAUUUGCAGAUACUACCCUCAUCUCCCCCUCACCUGCACCCCCCCCCCCGUGAACCUUAUUUUUCUUAAAUUUUAUUUUUAAUACAUGGAAUAAAACAAGCAUUUCUAUAACA